GGGAAACGUGUUGACCAAGGGGGCCCUCUCCUUCUCAUUUCCUUCUCAGGGACACAGCUUCCUCCGACCUGGGGAAACACUGAAAGCCCACAGCCAUGCUUACUCACCAGAUAAGCCAAGAAGAAGCUACCCCUUUCCAGGAAGUCUGUGACAACAGCGUAAGCAUAGGACACUAAUAAUCAUGCCAAGACCCUCUGUUGUUGCUACUCCACCCUGGGACAGCCAGUGUCUUCUGGGAGCAGGUGUGGGCAAGGGGAAGAAAAGUAAACAAACAGGACUACAUCGAACUAAAAAUUUCACAUGGUGGAGGAAACGCUCAACAAAACAAAAACACCAUCUACUAAAUGGGCUUAACUCAACCAGGAUCUCCGGACAAAUGACGAGGCCUGGAACAUCAUGAGAAAAUGGCGGAACUUCAGGCAAACUGGGAAUUGGACAGGAUCGUCUUCUAUUCCUCAGGCCGCGCUUGAUCUCCAGACAACUUCAGGAGACAGUGAUUGUUAUAGAACAACCAGGUCAGCCCGGGAACCUCUUCUCCUUCUGGCGCUAAUUCUCAGAACACCCAGUGUUCCAAAGGGAGGCUCUUUCCUUGUCCCGCCUUUCCCUAUCACCCCACAUGGGACAUGCUCAUGCAGUGGGAGAGAGCUUUGGGCAGAGUGCGCUGAGAGGGUCUCUGAAUGCCGAUCCAAAG
ensembl:lncRNA